rnacentral:tRNA from 1 species
GGUAGGGUGGCCGAGAAUUAGGCGGCAGGUUGUAGCCCUGCAGAGGCGGGUUUAAUCCUGCCCCUACCAA